rnacentral:rRNA from 1 species
GAUGAACGCUGGCGGCGUGCUUAACACAUGCAAGUCGAACGAUGAAGCCCAGCUUGCUGGGUGGAUUAGUGGCGAACGGGUGAGUAACACGUGAGUAACCUGCCCUUGACUCUGGGAUAAGCCUGGGAAACUGGGUCUAAUACUGGAUAUGACUUCUCAUCGCAUGGUGGGGGGUGGAAAGAUUUAUUGGUCUUGGAUGGACUCGCGGCCUAUCAGCUUGUUGGUGAGGUAAUGGCUCACCAAGGCGACGACGGGUAGCCGGCCUGAGAGGGUGACCGGCCACACUGGGACUGAGACACGGCCCAGACUCCUACGGGAGGCAGCAGUGGGGAAUAUUGCACAAUGGGCGCAAGCCUGAUGCAGAGACGCCGCGUGAGGGAUGACGGCCUUCGGGUUGUAAACCUCUUUCAGUAGGGAAGAAGCGAGAGUGACGGUACCUGCAGAAGAAGCGCCGGCUAACUACGUG